CAGCCGCCGCGGUAAUACGUAGGGUGCAAGCGUUAAUCGGAAUUACUGGUCGUAAAGCGUGCGCAGGCGGUUCGGAAAGAAAGAUGUGAAAUCCCAGAGCUUAACUUUGGAACUGCAUUUUUAACUACCGGGCUAGAGUGUGUCAGAGGGAGGUGGAAUUCCGCGUGUAGCAGUGAAAUGCGUAGAUAUGCGGAGGAACACCGAUGGCGAAGGCAGCCUCCUGGGAUAACACUGACGCUCAUGCACGAAAGCGUGGGGAGCAAACAGGAUUAGAUACCCUGGUAGUCCACGCCCUAAACGAUGUCAACUAGCUGUUGGGGCCUUCGGGCCUUGGUAGCGCAGCUAACGCGUGAAGUUGACCGCCUGGGGAGUACGGUCGCAAGAUUAAAACUUAAAGGAAUUGGCGGG
rnacentral:rRNA from 1 species